CCCUUAGAUGUUCUGGGCCGCACGCGCGCUACACUGAUGCAUUCAACGAGUCUAAAACCUGGUCUGAUAGGGCUGGGUAAUCUUUUGAAAGUGCAUCGUGAUUGGGAUAGAUGAUUGCAAUUCUUCAUCUUCAACGAGGAAUGCCUAGUAAACGCAAGUCAUCAGCUUGCAUUGAUUACGUCCCUGCCCUUUGUACACACCGCCCGUCGCUCCUACCGAUUGAAUGGUCCGGUGAAAUCUCGGGACGGCGGCUUGGUCGCUUGCGUCCGACUGCUGAAACUUGAUUAAACCAUAUCAUUUAGAGGAAGGUGAAGUCGUAACA
rnacentral:rRNA from 1 species